GACGAACGAUGGAGGAGGGAGGAACACAUGCAAGUCGAACGGAAAGGCCCUGCUUUUGUGGGGUGCUCGAGUGGCGAACGGGUGAGUAACACGUGAGUAACCUGCCCUUGACUUUGGGAUAACUUCAGGAAACUGGGGCUAAUACCGGAUAGGAGCUCCUGCUGCAUGGUGGGGGUUGGAAAGUUUCGGCGGUUGGGGAUGGACUCGCGGCUUAUCAGCUUGUUGGUGGGGUAGUGGCUUACCAAGGCUUUGACGGGUAGCCGGCCUGAGAGGGUGACCGGCCACAUUGGGACUGAGAUACGGCCCAGACUCCUACGGGAGGCAGCAGUGGGGAAUAUUGCACAAUGGGCGGAAGCCUGAUGCAGCAACGCCGCGUGCGGGAUGACGGCCUUCGGGUUGUAAACCGCUUUCGCCUGUGACGAAGCGUGAGUGACGGUAAUGGGUAAAGAAGCACCGGCUAACUACGUG
rnacentral:rRNA from 1 species